GUGCUGGCUUCUGCAGCACAUAUACUAAACUGAAUGAUACGGAGGAGGUUAGUGUGGCCCUAUGCAAGGAUGACAGGCAAAUUUCCAAAUGUGCCUAUUUUAU
rnacentral:snRNA from 1 species